ACAGGUCAUGCUAUCGCCUCGUUUCCCAGCCGCCUGCUGCGAUUGAGAUUCACAUCUGCCGCCUGCCAACUGCCGCCGCCUGCUAUCGCCUAUGGGAUCUCUGCACGACUCCACAUAGCCAUCAAGAGAAGCAGAGAAGCGACGGCCGUGGGCGAGCGCCGAUCCACAGGCUAUUUGCCGGUAGCCGGUAGGCCAGGCCCGAGGAUUAGCCGCGAUAAAAUUAGGAAAAAGGGAGAAAAUACAAAGAUGAAGAACCCACUGCUUGGAUGUUUUUGAGGAGUGCCACUACAGCAACAAGAAGAAAGGGUACACAGACACCGUACAAUCUGCGCACUUUCUCUCAACCUACUAAAAAUGGAGACCCGCAUAUCUCUGUGACUGAGGUUGUAUCUAAUGUGCUCACUCAGCGUACCAAGAAGCCCAAGUUUCUUCAUAAUGUGUGGAUCCUCCAUGUGCGUGAGAGAACCAGUGGUACCAACCUUGAAGCACAACUAGCAUCGGAGAAGGGCAGUGCAGAUAUUCAGGAGGUAGUCAACACCUUGUCUAAGAAGGUAGAGGAAUCAGAAGCAAGGUUCAGAGAAGAAGAGUACAUGAAGAAGCAAGCCGAGGUGGAUUAAAACAGGGUAAGGCGGUUGUUGAGCCAGAGAUGACCUUUUCCUAAGCCAGGGCUGAUCAAGUUCAGCUACAGGGUAAGGUGGUUGUUGAAACACCGUUGUGUAAGGUAAUGGCAAUAUGUGAUCAUUUGCUGGUGACAUGCUUUUGUUGGAAGCUAUGUGGUAAUGCUUUUGUUGCUCCAAACUGCAUGCAUUCUGUUCAUGGAUAUGAAUGCAAGCAUUUUGCUGUGGGUAGUUUGUGGCACUUGAGUGACUGUAGUUUCAUAUUUAUGAAGG